rnacentral:lncRNA from 1 species
GGAUGAUUCAGAUCACCUCCAAAACUUACAACGAGUGUUGACUCGAUUGUGUGAGUAUGGACUGAGAGCUAACAAGGAAAAAUGUGAGUUCUUCAAGUCCCGGAUUUCUUACUGUGGACAUGUGAUAGACAAAGAUGGUCUUCAUAAGUCGCAGGACAAAAUUGAAGCUGUGUUAAAUGCACCACACCCAUAGAAUGUGUCCCAGCUCCGAUCAUAUCUCGGACUUGUGAACUAUUACCACAAAUUCCUUCCGAACCUCUCGACUGUGUUACAUCCAUUGAACGCACUGUUGCAAACAAGGACACAGUGGAAUUGGUCAGACAGUUGUGAACAAGCUUUUCAAAAGACCAAAAUGCUCAUAACUUCUGAGGUAGUGUUGGCACAUUUUAACCCAUCCCUGCCCAUCAGGUUGGCAUGUGAUGCGUCGCCGUAUGGAAUCGGCGCUGUGCUAUCACACAAGUUUCCAGACGGCACAGAAAAACCAAUCGCCUUCGCAUCGAGAUCACUGUCGGCAGCAGAACGUAACUACGCACAGAUAGAUCGAGAAGCACUUAGUCUUGUGUGGGGGGUUAAAAAGUUUCACCAUUAUCUGUAUGGUCAACGGUUUACCCUCAUCACAGACCAUCAGCCCUUGGUCUUGAUCUUCAACGUACGGAAGGGUGUUUCAGUGAUGGCCUCAGCACGGCUACAGCGUUGGUCACUCUUCUUGGGUGCUCACCAAUAUGAUAUUGAGUACAAGGGCACUAAACUACAUGGUAAUGCGGACGGGUUGUCGCGUCUUCCAUUGAAGUCUAUGGAAGAGUCACAUGCUAUGGAUCCAGCUGAUGUGUUUCAUACCACAAUCGUGAGUCAGCUACCUGUAACAAAUGCCACUAUUCAGAGAGAGACCCGUAAUGACCCAACAUUGUCCAAGGUCUAUGACAUCACAGUACAGGGAUGGCCAGCGCAUGGAAACUCACUUUAUCCAGCAUUUUCAGUGAGGAGAGAACAGCUUUCUGUGUGUCAAGGAACUCUGAUGUGUGGAUUACGAGUUGUAAUUCCCUCCAAACUGCACAGUCAGAUGUUGGACACAUUGCACGAAGGACAUUUAGGCACUGUAAAAAUGAAGAGUCUUGCACGCAGUUAUAUGUGGUGGCCGGGAAUCGACAAACAGAUUGAGGAUCUAGCUAAGGCUUGCCCUGGAUGUCAAAGGACCCAGAACUCUCCACCAUUAGCCCCCUUACAUCCCUGGGAAUGGCCGUCAACACCAUGGCAAAGAGUGCACGUCGAUUUUGCUGGGCCAUUCAAGGAAUCCAUGUUUUUGAUCGCCGUGGAUGCGCAUUCGAAAUGGCCUGAAGUUAUUUCAAUGAAGACAACCACAUCUGAAAAGACUGUUUCUGUGUUGAGGACAAUAUUCUCCAGGAACGGGUUGCCAGAGCAGAUAUGUACGGAUAAUGGACGGCAGUUCGUCUCAGACGAAUUUCAAAAAUUCAUGAAGCUGAAUGGAGUCAAACACAUCACUUCCGCACCAUACCAUCCAGCCACUAACGGCUUGGCGGAAAGGUUUGUACAGACUUUCAAGAAAGCAAUCAAGGCAACGGACAAUGACAACAUCUCACUACAACACAAAAUAGACAACUUCCUUUUCAUGUACAGAAAUGCAACACACGCCACAACUGGCCAAACACCAGCGAUGAUGUUCCUUAAAAGAAACUUAAGAUCUCGCUUGGAUCUCAUCAAACCAGAUGUUCGACGUGAUGUGGAAAACAAACAAUUCGCGCACAUGAAUGACAGGCACACAAGAAACUUUCAAGUUGGACAAGAAGUCUUAGCACGCGACUAUAGACAAGACAAGUGGCAACCAGGUACUAUUACCACUAGAACUGGACCCUUGUCAUACACCGUGAAGGUGGGAGAUAACACAUGGAGACGUCAUGUUGAUCAAUUGGUGGAUCGCCAGACAAAAUCCUCACCUUUGUCUGCCCCUGAUUCAAAUGACAUGGACAUUGAGGUUGAGUCGGCCAGUGAUGGUAGCAGAUGUCACCUGUACACUGGAGACCAGCCUCAUCCUUACAAAGAGACUCAGGCCAGAAGGAUGAGGUCAUCAUCAUCCACUCAGGGGAUCUGCAUAUUCAGUAUGUCUAAGAGUGACCUGUUCAGAGGUCUGAAGGUGAGGAGAGAUGUGAGCUGUGACUACAGAGAGAUCAUAGACUCACACGCUGUCUCCCCACGCAGUGAUGGAUACAGCUUUACAGAUCUGCCGGGAGAUCUCAUGAUCAGUGAUCCAACAACCAAACAGACAUCGUCUACAGCAGGUUCGACUGUUAGUUUUCAUUUGACCUCCAAAAUCUCUGUGAGACCAAUUACCAGU